rnacentral:sRNA from 1 species
GCUGGGUAUGGCAGUGCAUGCCUGUAAUCCCAGUGGCUCAGGAGGCUGAGACAGGAGGAUUACUCAGCGACUUAGUGAGACUCUGUAUUAA